GCUUCCGUCGCACAGUGGGUCAGUGUGUCUGGCUGUUAACCAGAAGGUUGGUGGUUCGAGCCCAUCCAGGGGUG